CAUCCCGCGCCAUCCACUGCUAUAUCUCGUCCUUUGACACGGUUAAGAAAUUGGAGGUACUAGGCUAUAAGCCAGUUCUCUUCAUUUCGAAAGAGAAAAAAAAUGGGUUUGUAGCUGAAGUCAUCACUUCAAUGGGUCCAUUUGCAGUUGGACCACUUCAAACCAUCUUUGAAAGGAUGACUAGCCUUUAUGAAUUUUUUAUUAAAAAUUACCAGAGGAUUCAAAGCCACACCAGUACUGCUGAAACUGUUUGCCAGCACCAGACUUCCUCCCUUCCUCCAACAUCCUCCUCGUUUGACACUCUUCCUCCUCCAUCUUCCUCCUCCUCCAGCCUUCCUCC